rnacentral:rRNA from 1 species
AGGACGAACGCUGGCGGCGCGCUUAACACAUGCAAGUCGAGCGAGAACCAGUCCUUCGGGACUGGGGACAGCGGCGAACGGGUGAGUAACACGUGGGUAAUCUGCCCUCGAUUCUGGGAUAGCCCGGGGAAACCCGGAUUAAUACCGGAUAGCCUCCCGAGCUUACGAGCUCGUGAGAAAAGGUAGCUUCGGCCUCCGAUCGAGGAUGAGCCCGCGGCGGAUUAGCUUGUUGGUGGGGUAAUGGCCUACCAAGGCAACGAUCCGUAGCUGGUCUGAGAGGACGAUCAGCCACACUGGGACUGAGACACGGCCCAGACUCCUACGGGAGGCAGCAGUGGGGAAUCUUGCGCAAUGGGCGAAAGCCUGACGCAGCGACGCCGCGUGGGGGAAGAAGGGCCUUCGGGUUGUAAACCUCUUUCAGCAGGACGAAGCCACUCGGUAAUAGCCCAGAGGUGACGGUACCUGCAGAAGAAGCCCGGCUAACUACGUGCCAGCCAGCCGCGGUAAU